AUAAUGGGUCAGCGACUUAUAUUCUGUAGCAAGGUUAACCGAAUAGGGGAGCCGAAGGGAAACCGAGUCUUAACUGGGCGUUAAGUUGCAGGGUAUAGACCCGAAACCCGGUGAUCUAGCCAUGGGCAGGUUGAAGGUUGGGUAACACUAACUGGAGGACCGAACCGACUAAUGUUGAAAAAUUAGCGGAUGACUUGUGGCUGGGGGUGAAAGGCCAAUCAAACCGGGAGAUAGCUGGUUCUCCCCGAAAGCUAUUUAGGUAGCGCCUCGUGAAUUCAUCUCCGGGGGUAGAGCACUGUUUCGGCAAGGGGGUCAUCCCGACUUACCAACCCGAUGCAAACUGCGAAUACCGGAGAAUGUUAUCACGGGAGACACACGGCGGGUGCUAACGUCCGUCGUGAAGAGGGAAACAACCCAGACCGCCAGCUAAGGUCCCAAAGUCAUGGUUAAGUGGGAAACGAUGUGGGAAGGCCCAGACAGCCAGGAUGUUGGCUUAGAAGCAGCCAUCAUUUAAAGAAAGCGUAAUAGCUCACUGGUCGAGUCGGCCUGCGCGGAAGAUGUAACGGGGCUAAACCAUGCACCGAAGCUGCGGCAGCGACGCUGAUGCGUUGUUGGGUAGGGGAGCGUUCUGUAAGCCUGCGAAGGUGUGCUGUGAGGCAUGCUGGAGGUAUCAG
rnacentral:rRNA from 1 species